rnacentral:misc_RNA from 1 species
UCCGGUUUAUCACCGGCAGUCCCUGCAGAGUGCCCGGCAUAACCCGAUGGCAACAAAGGGCAAGGGUUGCGCUCGUUGCGGGACUUAACCCAACAUCUCACGACACGAGCUGACGACAGCCAUGCAGCACCUGUGCAUCGGCCCCGAAGGGAAGACAGCUUUCACUGCCGGUCCGAUACAUGUCAAACCCAGGUAAGGUUCUUCGCGUUGCGUCGAAUUAAACCACAUGCUCCACCGCUUGUGCGGGCCCCCGUCAAUUCGUUUGAGUUUCAGCCUUGCGACCGUACUCCCCAGGCGGGGCACUUACUGCGUUAGCGCCGGCACCGACGGGAUUAUACCGCCGACACCUAGUGCCCAUCGUUUACAGCGUGGACUAC